GACGAACGCUGGCGGUGUGCUUAACACAUGCAAGUCGAACGGAAAGGCCCUGCUUUUGUGGGGUGCUCGAGUGGCGAACGGGUGAGUAAAACGUGAGUAACCUGCUCUUGACUUUGGGAUAACUUUAGGAAACUGGGGCUAAUACCGGAUAGGAGCUCCUGCUGCUGGGUGGGGGUUGGAAAGUCUCGGCGGUUGGGGAUGGACGCGCGGGUUAACAGCUUGUUGGUGGAGUAGUCGCUUACCAAGGCAUUGACGGGUAGCCGACCUGAGAGGGUGACCGGCAACAUUGGGACUGAGAGACGGCCCAGACUGCUAUGGGAGGCAGCAGUAGGAAAAAUUGCACAAUGGGCGGAAGCCUGAUGCAGCGACGCCAGGUGCGUAAUGACGGCCUUCGGGGAGUAAACCGCUUUCGCCUGUGACGAAGCGUGAGUGACGGUAAUGGAUGAAAAAGCACCGGCUAACUACGUG
rnacentral:rRNA from 1 species